rnacentral:rRNA from 1 species
GCGCAACCCUUGUCAUUAGUUGCUACGAAAGAGCACUCUAAUGAGACUGCCGGUGACAAACCGGAGGAAGGUGGGGAUGACGUCAAGUCCUCAUGGCCCUUAUGGGUAGGGCUUCACACGUCAUACAAUGGUACAUACAGAGGGCCGCCAACCCGCGAGGGGGAGCUAAUCCCAGAAAGUGUAUCGUAGUCCGGAUUGUAGUCUGCAACUCGACUGCAUGAAGUUGGAAUCGCUAGUAAUCGCGGAUCAGCAUGUCGCGGUGAAUACGUU